rnacentral:rRNA from 1 species
AGCGAACGCUGGCGGCAGGCCUAACACAUGCAAGUCGAACGAACUCUUCGGAGUUAGUGGCGGACGGGUGAGUAACACGUGGGGACGUGCCUUUUGGUUCGGAAUAACUCAGGGAAACUUGUUCUAAUACCGAAUGUGCCCUUCGGGGGAAAGAUUUAUCGCCAUUAGAGCGGCCCGCGUCUGAUUAGCUAGUUGGUGAGGUAACGGCUCACCAAGGCGACGAUCAGUAGCUGGUCUGAGAGGAUGACCAGCCACACUGGGACUGAGACACGGCCCAGACUCCUACGGGAGGCAGCAGUGGGGAAUCUUGCGCAAUGGGCGAAAGCCUGACGCAGCCAUGCCGCGUGAAUGAUGAAGGUCUUAGGAUUGUAAAAUUCUUUCACCGGGGACGAUAAUGACGGUACCCGGAGAAGAAGCCCCGGCUAACUUCGUG